UACCAGCACCCCGAGUGGUCGGGACGUUUUAUUGGGCCUAAAGCAUCCGUAGCCGGUUCUACAAGUCUUCCGUUAAAUCCACCUGCUCAACAGAUGGGCUGCGGAAGAUACUAUGGAGCUAGGAGGCGGGAGAGGCAAGCGGUGACGUCGGAUGGGAUAGGGGUAAAAUCCGUUGAUCCAUUGAAGACCACCAGUGGCGAAGGCGGCUUGCCAGAACGCGCUCGACGGUGAGGGAUGAAAGCUGGGGGA
rnacentral:rRNA from 1 species